GCCAGCAUGGUAUACUGGUUUGGGUGUUGGACUCAAACUCUGGAGACCAGGGUUCGAUUCCCAGCUUGGCC
rnacentral:tRNA from 1 species